GUUUGGGUGGUGUAGUUGGUUAUCAGUUGGUUAUCACGCUAGUCUUACACACUAGAGGUCCCCAGUUCAAACCUGGGCUCAGACA